UACGAAGGGGGGCUAGCGUUGCUCGGAAUCACUGGGCGUAAAGCGCACGUAGGCGGCUUUCUAAGUCAGGGGUGAAAUCCUGGAGCUCAACUCCAGAACUGCCUUUGAUACUGGAAAGCUUGAGUCCGGGAGAGGUGAGUGGAACUGCGAGUGUAGAGGUGAAAUUCGUAGAUAUUCGCAAGAACACCAAUGGCGAAGGCAGCUCGCUGGGACGGUACUGACGCUGAGACGCGAAAGCGUGGGGAGCAAACAGG
rnacentral:rRNA from 1 species